rnacentral:rRNA from 1 species
GAUGAACGCUGGCGGCGUGCCUAAUACAUGCAAGUCGAGCGAACAGAUGAGGAGCUUGCUCCUCGGACGUUAGCGGCGGACGUGUGUGUAACACGUGGAUAACCUACCUAUAAGUCUGGGAUAACUUCGGGAAACCGGAUCUAAUACCGGAUAAUAUAUUGAACCGCAUGGUUCAAUAGUGAAAGACGGUUUUGCUGUCACUUAUAGAUGGAUCCGCGCCGCAUUAGCUAGUUGGUAAGGUAACGGCUUACCAAGGCAACGAUGCGUAGCCGACCUGAGAGAGUGAUCGCCCACACUGGAACUGAGCCACCGUCCAGACUCCUACGGGAGGCAGCAGUAGGGAAUCUUCCGCAAUGGGCGAAAGCUUGACGGAGCAACGCCGCGUGAGUGAUGAAGGUCUUCGGAUCGUAAAACUCUGUUAUUAGGGAAGAACAAAUGUGUAAGUAACUAUGCACGUCUUGACGGUACCUAAUCAGAAAGCCACGGCUAACUACGUG